rnacentral:snoRNA from 1 species
UUGCAGCCAAUUAAGCCGACUGUGCUCUUUUCCCCAUGGGGGCCCAGUGUGCAAUGGCUGCAAAUAGCAGGCUCCUUGGUAGUGUAUGCAACCUGUUGCCUGUACAGGUUGCCCUAAGGGACGUUGGAGACCACU